AUUGAACGCUGGCGGCAGGCCUAACACAUGCAAGUCGAGCGAGCGGCGGACGGGUGAGUAAUGUAUGGGGACUGCCCGAUAGAGGGGGAUAACUACUGGAAACGGUGGCUAAUACCGCAUACUAUCGGAUAACCCAUAUGGGAUUAGCUAGUUGGUGGGGGAAAGGCUCACCUGGGCGACGAGCCCUAGCUGGUCUGAGAGGAUGAUCAGCCACACUGGGACUGAGACACGGCCCAGACUCCUACGGAGGCAGCAGUGGGGAAUAUUGCACAAUGGACGAAAGCCUGAUGCAGCAAUGCCGCGUGUAUGAAGAAGGCCUUAGGGUUGUAAAAUACUGUCAGCGGGGAGGCGUUACCCGCAGAGGAAGCACCGGCUAACUCCGUGCCAGCAGCCGCGGUAAUAC
rnacentral:rRNA from 1 species